rnacentral:rRNA from 1 species
AACCUUAUGAAGCCCCAAUAUAUAAGGCUCUUCCUGCCCAGUGAUAUACGUAUUCAACGGCCGCAGUACCCUGACUGUGCAAAGGUAGCAUAAUAAUUUGCCCCUUAAUUAGGGGCUAGUAUGAAUGGACACAUGAGAAUAAAGCUGUCUCUUCUUUAAAAAUAAAAAUUGGCCUUCAGGUGAAAAGACCUGGAUAGUUAUAGAGGACAAAAAGACCCUAUUGAGCUUCAUUUUAAAAGGACAUCGUAUAAUAAACAAAUUAAAAUUAAACCUAUAAAAAUUUUGUUGGGGCGACAAAGGAAAAAAAAAAACUUCCAUUUUAAGAAAAAGAAAUCUACUCUUACAAAUGAUCCUUAUCAAGAUUAAAGGAAAAAGCUACCAUAGGGAUAACAGACUAAUCAUUUCAGAGAGCUCAAAUUGACGAAAUGGAUUGGCACCUCGAUGUUGGCUUAGGAUAUCCCUCUGGCGUAGAGGCUAGAAAAGGUUGGUUGGUUCAACCAUUAAAAUCCU